AUUAUACAGCGAAACUGCGAAUGGCUCAUUAUAUAAGUUAUCGUUUAUUUGAUAGUACCUUACUACUUGGAUAACCGUGGUAAUUCUAGAGCUAAUACAUGCUAAAAAUCCCGACUUCGGAAGGGAUGUAUUUAUUAGAUUAAAAACCAAUGCCCUCUGGGCUCUCUGGUGAUUCAUGAUAACUUCUCGAAUCGCAUGGCCUUGCGCCGGCGAUGGUUCAUUCAAAUUUCUUCCCUAUCAACUUUCGAUGUUUGGGUAGUGGCCAAACAUGGUUGCAACGGGUAACGGAGGGUUAGGGCUCGACCCCGGAGAAGGAGCCUGAGAAACGGCUACUACAUCCAAGGAAGGCAGCAGGCGCGCAAAUUACCCAAUCCCGACACGGGGAGGUAGUGACAAUAAAUACUGAUACAGGGCUCUUUUGGGUCUUGUAAUUGGAAUGAGUACAAUUUAAAUCCCUUAACGAGGAACAAUUGGAGGGCAAGUCUGGUGCCAGCAGCCGCGGUAAUCCAGCUCCAAUAGCG
rnacentral:rRNA from 1 species